AAUGAACGCUGGCGGCGCGCCUAAUACAUGCAAGUCGAGCGAGAAGACGUAGCAAUACGUUUGUAAAGCGGCGAACGGGUGAGGAAUACAUGGGUAACCUACCCUCGAGUGGGGAAUAACUAGCCGAAAGGUUAGCUAAUACCGCGUACGCUUCUUGGACUUCGGUUCAGGGAGGAAAGCGAUGCCGAGGGUAUCGCGCUCUUGGAUGGGCUCAUGUCCUAUCAGCUUGUUGGGAGGUAACGGCUCACCAAGGCUUCGACGGGUAGCUGGUCUGAGAGGACGAUCAGCCACACUGGCACUGCGACACGGGCCAGACUCCUACGGGAGGCAGCAGUAAGGAAUAUUGCGCAAUGGGCGAAAGCCUGACGCAGCGACGCCGCGUGGGGGAUGAAGGUCUUCGGAUUGUAAACCCCUUUCGGGAGGGAAGAUGGAAUGGGGUAACCCAUUCGGACGGUACCUCCAGAAGCAGCCACGGCUAACUUCGUGCCAGCCGCCGC
rnacentral:rRNA from 1 species